UACGUAGGGCGCAAGCGUUGUCCGGAAUUAUUGGGCGUAAAGAGCUCGUAGGCGGCUUGUCGCGUCGACUGUGAAAACCCGUGGCUCAACCAUGCGGUCUGCAGUCGAUACGGGCAGGCUAGAAUUCGGUAGGGGAGACUGGAAUUCCUGGUGUAGCGGUGAAAUGCGCAGAUAUCAGGAGGAACACCGGUGGCGAAGGCGGGUCUCUGGGCCGAUAUUGACGCUGAGGAGCGAAAGCGUGGGGAGCGAACAGG
rnacentral:rRNA from 1 species